UAUAUAUGUGCCAGAAAGAAAGUGAUAAUCAAAGGUUGUUUGGUAAAACUAAAAGAGACACUUGAUGAAAAUGUUCUCCCAAUUAUUUUCUUGAACCAAAUAAAGUCUUGCUUAAAAUUACUUCAGUUUUAGUCUGGGAAUAGUAAAUUGGCUUAUGCACAGUAUGGAAUAAUACUACAUUACUAUUGAGUAUUCUUGAAAAGAGAACAGGAAUGAUAUGAGAAUAACAUUCUUCCUCAAGUCACUGAAAAAAAAUAUGCUGAAAAUGCUAUCUUUGUGCUAGAUUGUAAGCUUCAGUUGGACACAUGCCUUGCUAACUAAAUUAUCUGAACUCAUUAAAUAUUAGUAAUAGGUGUGUUCAAAUUAACAAUUGUAUCUUGUCUAAUUUUUCCUUUCUUUCUAGUGGAGUUGCUGUUCAAAAGGGAAGAUGCUAGAAAGAUACCAGUUGAAGGAAUAAGAGAAAGGAACGAAAGGAACUAAAUCCUUGGAUCAUGUUGGCUGAAGCAAAUAAUUGUAACAGCACUCAAGAAAUGAAUGAAUACCACAGGGAAGAGCUUCAACCACCACUGCCCCUGACAACCUUAAUAGUAGACAUCAGCUGUCACCUGACAACAUUGUUCUGCAAAGCUUUAUUUUAAACUUCUCACCUUCCAGGACUAGGGGUA
rnacentral:lncRNA from 1 species